rnacentral:tRNA from 1 species
GGUGAGGUGGCCGAGAGGUUGAAGGCAGCAUCCUGCUAAGAUGUUGAGCUCGUAAGGGCUCCGUGGGUUCGAAUCCCACCCUCACCG